rnacentral:rRNA from 1 species
GUGACCUCAAAUCAGGUAGGACUACCCGCUGAACUUAAGCAUAUCAAUAAGCGGAGGAAAAGAAACUAACAAGGAUUCCCCUAGUAACUGCGAGUGAAGCGGGAAAAGCUCAAAUUUAAAAUCUGGCAGUCUUUGACUGUCCGAGUUGUAAUCUAGAGAAGUGUUAUCCGCGCUGGACCGUGUACAAGUCUCCUGGAAUGGAGCGUCAUAGAGGGUGAGAAUCCCGUCUUUGACACGGACUACCAGGGCUUUGUGAUGCGCUCUCAAAGAGUCGAGUUGUUUGGGAAUGCAGCUCAAAAUGGGUGGUAAAUUCCAUCUAAAGCUAAAUAUUGGCGAGAGACCGAUAGCGAACAAGUACCGUGAGGGAAAGAUGAAAAGAACUUUGGAAAGAGAGUUAAACAGUACGUGAAAUUGCUGAAAGGGAAACGCUUGAAGUCAGUCGCGUCGUCCAGGGAUCAACCUUGCUUUUGCUUGGUGCACUUUCUGGUUGACGGGUCAGCAUCAAUUUUGACCAUUGGAAAAAGAUUAAGGGAAUGUGACAUCUUUGGAUGUGUUAUAGCCCUUGGUUGUAUACGAUGGUUGGGAUUGAGGAACUCAGCUCGCCGCAAGGCCGGGUUUAACC